CAGCCGCCGCGGGAAUACGAGGGGGGCAAGCGUUGUUCGGAAUUAUUGGGCGUAAAGGGUGCGUAGGCGGUCUGAUAAGUCUUAUGUGAAAUCUAUGGGCUCAACCCAUAGUCUGCAUAGGAAACUGUCGGGCUUGAGAGUGGGAGAGGUGAGUGGAAUUUCCGGUGUAGCGGUGAAAUGCGUAGAUAUCGGAAGGAACACCUGUGGCGAAAGCGGCUCACUGGACCAUUUCUGACGCUGAUGCACGAAAGCUAGGGAAGCAAACAGGAUUAGAUACCCGCGUAGUCCCUGUCUCUUAUAA
rnacentral:rRNA from 1 species